rnacentral:tRNA from 1 species
CAGAAAGUGAUUUAAAUAAAAAUUCUGCCUUUGGGAGGCAGCUAUCCAAUCUUUGGCUCUCUGA